ACCCGGCUGGCUCAGGCAGUAGAGCACGGGACUUCUAAUCUCAGGGUCAUGAAUUUGAGCCCCAUGUUGGGUG
rnacentral:tRNA from 1 species